GCUCGCUGUUGUAGGCAGGAGCGUGCGUGUGCAGCGAUUCAUCAGACGCUGGGCAGAACUUGUGCUGAACCCUUGCGAAGAUGUGUUGCGAUGGUCUAGAAGUGCGAGGGCUCAUUUGAAGACCCUGACCUGGAGUUACACGCAGGCUUCAGUUCUUUGCGGGAAUGGGACUCAUUCUCGGGGUUCCACGACUGGCCGUUAUUCAACAUGCCAAGGGUUUGGCCUGAGAGUCUCGAUCGUGUUCGGAAGCCUAAGAUCUCGGGGCUCUGGAGACAGGCGGAUCAAGGGUCAGCGUCAUGACAGGAGACUCGUGUAACGUUAAGGAGGCCGGAAAAUUUUUCGCUGUGACACUGCUAUGGGCCCAAAGACAGGAGGUGUCUUCAACCUCACAUCUGGAGGGUGAUGGGAUGAUUGGUGAAAGCAAUCUGUGUGGAUACUGUCUGGCCUGCCUAGUGAUUCCACCAUUUUCUGCUUUUAUUCAUCUAAAUUGACAAGAAGACGAUAAUCUAAUCACACCUCCUUGCAUAGGUACAAGGGACCACCCCACUGUGCUAUGGACAUUCAGAGAAGUGGUCAUCUGGUCCUUGGAGUCGAUUUUAAUAAGUAUCAUGAUGCCAAAAACUCACUCUCACUUGAAAGCAAGAGGACUAGUAUUUCCAUAUGCUUAGUGGGUAAUUAACUAUGUAUAAGUAUUUUUAAGUUCAAACCCUUCACAUAUCUUUCAACAAGAUACUGAUGUUCCAAGAACUUCUGAGAAUGGGAAAGCAAGACAACGCUCAGCUGGCAGGCUCUGGAUUUCUGCAUAUACUGUAACUUUGCAUAUGGAGAUGGUGGAAACUGCUGCCAGACUGACUGCACAGGAAUGAUGAGAGCCCUGAUUCUCCCCCAGCAUCAUUAUGCAACCUCAGAAUCAAUGUAGCUUGUGAUUCCAAGCCAAGGUCCUGAAGAAACUUUAAAAAGUUGCUGCAUGGACUGAGCUAAUUUAUCACCUUAAGUGGAAAGGAACCUUAGGACCUCACACUCCAAAUAAAAGUCACAGUUGGAGAGAAGUGGAGAGGCCGGAAACAAAGUGUAUCUAACCGCCGGUUUCAGUUCAUCAAAGAAAGUGAGUAGCAUCGUGACCAUGAGACCAACCACACACCAAAUAUGGAGCAUUCGGACAUUUCUGCUCUCAUGGGCAUCCACAUUCUUUUGAAGACCCUGACCUGGAGAUGCACUGUGACUUCAGCUCUUUGCGGGAAUGGGACCAGCUCUCAGGGCCUCACGACCGGUCGCCUUUUGAUAUCCCAAGGACAUGGCCUGGAAGGCAAGCGCACCUCCAAGGUUCCAGAUUCUCGUGGCUCUGGAGACGAGCUGAUUCUAGGCCAGUGCCCUUGACUGAAGCUUCGCGGGAGUACACGGAACAUCAGGAGAAGCGGGAUAGCUGCCAGGGGAUGUUUGUCCGGAGUCCUGAGCCUUUUUGGUGCUGACUCUCUGGGCACAGAGCUUAAAAAAAGUGGUGCGACAGAUUUUCAUCAUAAAUCGGUGAGUUGUCUGUUAUGUUUCCCCCUUUCUCUGUGAAACGGAGACAUCUCUUUUUCCCUUAUUAGCCUGUGGUAUGUCGAAUUACUGGGUGAACAAUUAGGUUUUGGGAUACUGCAAGUCUGUGUCUUUAUUGAUGCUUGCUGCAUGCUUGAGUGCUCGG